CCAUCUCCCAGCGCAGGGAGGAGCCCGAAAGGGCUGCGGCUGUGCCGAUGGCGGCCUCCCGGCCCGUGCAACCUCUAAGCCCUACACCCGGAGGGAGCGCGUCAGAGGCCUCCCUGCUCAGCAGCAGACUCCUGGGGCUGCACCUGCAGGCCUGGACACCCUUUAGUCCCGAUGAUGGCGCGGCCGCCCUCCUGCCCCAUACUGGGCAAGGUCACCUGGGCUCCAGGCCCGGACGCCCUCCAGGCUCCAGGCGGCGCGUGGGUCACCGGCCUGAGCGCCCCCUAAGCCAGAUGAAUGGAGCCCUGGAGAAUGGACUGGAUGGCCAGCAGGCGCCAGAACUCCCGCACCGCCUCGUCCCGGUUGCUCCGCACCAGCCGCAGCAGGGCUGCGUUGUGGAAGAGCAGCUUCCCGUCCGCAAACUCAUUCCAGAGGUAGGGGUUCUCCUGGGGCGGUGGGGGACGGCUGGCUGUGGGCGCUCCUCUCCCCUGCCCCACGCCCCUCACUGUCGCUCGCUGCGGGGUGGACAGGCUCACCUUAGGUCUCCUGGUCUCUGAAUCCGGCCCUGGGGAAAGACCCAGCUUCAGGCCCCAGCUCCGCCAGACCCCCAACGUGGGGGUCCCACAGCCCUUGCCCCCCAGUCUCAGGCUUCCAGGGGCUGCUGGAUGCAGCCACACAAGCCAGGCCUGCGGCUCCGGAAUCCACACCUCAAGCAAUCUUGGGGUGAAAGCUGACCUCCGUUUCCACCAUCUGCACAAAGUGGGGAACACGGGAGCACCCCGUCCUGUCUCCCAGGGACCUCAGA
rnacentral:lncRNA from 1 species